UUUUUUUUUUUUUAUUACAUGAGACUAUUGCUCAGAUUAGAACUCAUAUACAUGAGACUAUUACUGAUAUUUACAAAUCAGACUAUUACUGUGACCAACUGACAUCAAUACUAAUCAGACUAUUACUGUGACCAACUGACAUCAAUACUAAUGGAGCUCUGCCCAGAUUUUAACCCUCACAAAUAUUCGAGGGAUGUCUACUCCUCACUCAUGGGUAAGGGAGAAGACUACCUUCCUCACUCAUGGGUAAGGGAGAAGACUACCUUCCUCACUCAUGGGUAAGGGAGAAGACUACCUUCCUCACUCAUGGGUAAGGGAGAAGACUACCUUCACUCAAAUUAAUUGAGGAAGGAAAUACCCCCACAAUACUUUUGUGGGGGUAAGGGAGAAGACUACCUUCACUCAAAUUAAUUGAGGAAGGAAAUACCCCCACAAUACUUUUGUGGGGGUUCGAACUGCUGCCCUCCAAGUUGGAGGGCAGCAGCCCUGGCCACUCGGACUACUGCCCG
rnacentral:lncRNA from 1 species